rnacentral:rRNA from 1 species
ACUCACCAGGUCAGGACACGGUAAGGAUUGACGGACUGAAGGCUCUUUCUCGAUUCCGUGGAAAGUGGUGCAUGGCCGUUUUUGGUUGGUGGAUCGAUCCGUCUGGUUAAUUCCGUUAACGAACGAGACCUCGGCACUCCGAAUAGCGCGGCGGACGUCGCGGCCUCCGGGCCGUCUUCCGCACGAGCUUCUUAGAGGGACCGUCCCCCCGCCGGGGAAGGAGGUGCGAGGCAACGACAGGUCUGUGAUGCCCUUAGAUGUUCUGGGCCGCACGCGCAUUACACUGACGCGUCCAACGGGUGACUCCCGACCCGAAGGGGCCGGGGAAUCCGCAAGGCGCGUCGUGAUGGGGAUUGAACGUUGCAAUUGUUGUUCACGAACGAGGAAUUCCUAGUAGGCGCGGGUCAUCAACCCGCGCCGAUUACGUCCCUGCCCUUUGUACACACCGCCC